AUCGAUGAAGAACGCAGCGAAAUGCGAUAAGUAAUGUGAAUUGCAGAAUUCCGUGAAUCAUCGAAUCUUUGAACGCACAUUGCGCCCUCUGGUAUUCCGGGGGGCAUGCCUGUCCGAGCGUCAUUUGCAACCCUCAAGCCCGGCUUGUGUGAUGGGUGCCGUCCCCUACGGGACGCGCCCCGAAGGCAAUGGCGGCGUCGCGGUUAUCCGAUCAGCCAAAGUGUAUGGGGCUUUGUCACUCACUUUACGGCCCGGACCGGCGCCAGUCCGAAUCAAUCUUUUUUCUAAAGUUGACCUCGGAUCAGGUAGGGAUACCCGCUGAACUUAAGCAUAUCAAUAAGCGGAGGAAAAGAAACCAACAGGGAUUGCCUCAGUAACGGCGAGUGAAGCGGCAAGAGCUCAAAUUUGAAAUCUGGUCCUUUCAGGGCCCGAGUUGUAAUUUGCAGAGGAUGCUUUGGGUGCGGCCGCGGCGUAAGUGCCCUGGAACGGGCUGUCGCAGAGGGUGAGAAUCCCGUCUUGAGUCGCCGGUUCGCGCCCGUGUAAAGCUCCUUCGACGAGUCGAGUUGUUUGGGAAUGCAGCUCUAAAUGGGUGGUAAAUUUCAUCUAAAGCUAAAUAUUGGCUGGAGACCGAUAGCGCACAAGUAGAGUGAUCGAAAGGUUAAAAGCACCUUGAAAAGGGAGUUAAAUAGCACGUGAAAUUGUUGAAAGGGAAGCGCUUGCAACCAGACUCGGCCGCAGAGGCUCAACGGGCACGUGUGCCUGUGCACUCCUCUGUGGUCGGGCCAGCAUCAGUUCUGGCGACCGGUCAAAGGCCCCUGGAAUGUGUCGUCCUCCGGGACGUCUUAUAGCCAGGGGUGCAAUGCGGCCAGCCGGGACUGAGGAACGCGCUUCGGCACGGAUGCUGGCAUAAUGGUUGUAAGCGGCCCGUCUUGAAACACGG
rnacentral:rRNA from 1 species